AGAUAAGCCCAGCAAUUCAAAAUAGAAAUCCAUAGUUGCAGACUUUCUCAGUUCUUGGCAACAGAAAAAUGGCUUUGUUAUUUAUCUGCACUCAAUAACAGAAUUAAAACUAAGAGGCAUCCAUUUUCCAAGGGAUGCACCAAGCCUAUCCAAAGAUGCCUCACAUCUGAAAAGGUUGAGACACCACCAUCAACUUUGGGGUACUGCAGGAUCAUCUCUGCAAUGUUUCUAGCCUUCCCCCUCAGGGCAGUGUCGCUGAGAUAAGCCCUUGGUAGGCCUUGGCAGGGAGAUGGGACUUGCACUUUUCUCUGGAAGGAGGAUGGGGCUUGAACUGUGUUCUGAAGAGGCAAUAAGAUUUUGUGUGGAGGCAACUGCAGAAGUGAGAGCCUAAGAGGCAAAUAUCUCCAUGCACCAAGACAGCCAAAAGGCUCAGUAGUAGAGCCUCAUUAGUAGCUGGUGCCUGUUUAGGUAUGCAGUUCCUGUCCUACACUCUCCUAAACACAGGGACCAUUGCAUCCAAGUGGGUGGGGAGGCUAGAAAGUUUACCCCUUCCCCUCUGCUCUGGCCAGCAAAUCUGAGUGACUAUAAAAGUGUGUGUAUGCAGGGCAUAGUAGUGAAUACAGUCCCCUGUGGGCUCAGAAGGAAUUGUGCAACUACACACAGUUUUCCAUUCAGGGCUGUGGUUUAAAGCCACAAGAGUCCCAAGGGAGAGUAUAGGAGCCCAAAUUAUACAUGGCAAAAACUAAACAAAAAGAGGUAAGAUGCAAUUGCCACUUACCAUGCCUCUCCCCUGCUAAAUGCUACACCCUAUGUUCUGAUUCCCAGUCGCGACCCUCUACCUUCUUCUUCCCCACUUUCCAUCUCUUCUGAUGGCCUUCUUUCUACCUUCCUUGGUAACUAUCCCAUCUUAAAUGGCUCAUUCCAAACCCCAGGUGUUAGAACUGAUCACUCAAAAAAAAACAAACAAAAAACAAAAACACCUUGUGAAAAGCCUGGUGAACAAAAUGAGAUUCGUCAUACCCCUUAGGUUAUGCACUGGCAUAAUCACAGGAUCAGGAUACUAACAUAGCCUGGUCAAAAUCCUGCAUAUCUGCAUAUGCUAUAAGGAAAGACCCAGAGGCAUAACCCAAUAUAUCUUCAGCAGUUCACCAAACUAUGCUCCUGUGCUAUCUAACCUGGCUAUAAUGACCAGCAGUAAAAGGGUUCAAAAUGUCAAAGUUUCUAAGCACCCUUAGGUUCCUACCUUAAUAUCUUUGUGAGAAAUAAUAGAGGCAUUUCAUCUUUCUCAGAGCUACCCAGUUUCUCUGCAGACUAAGACAACACUACUGUAUCAUUCAGACACCUGCAGUACAAUUGGAAGAGCUAGACUCUUUGGCCCAAAUCCAACUCCACCUUUAGUAAGUAGUGUUUAUGUGGCUAAGAUAGCAGUGUAAGUGCCAUUUGAGGCCAGUAAGGCAGAUUUUAGAGCCUGCUCCCUCUGGGAAGCAUGGAAUCCAUGUCAAGUCAUAAAAAGUGGAGGAGAACCUUGCCCUCAAUAGUGCUUUUGCAUUUUGCAUUUAAUAGUCAUUGGAUAAAAUGAAUACAUACCAAUCAGAUAGCUUCUGUACUAUCUCACUGAGUUGCACUUCCAUGGCUUUGCUCUCCUUAGGACCCCAUAGUUCUCCCCUCUUGGCUCCCCAGUAGACCAUCUUCAACAGGAGACGUGGAGGAUACUUCACAGUAAUACUUAGCCCAUGGCCUCAUGGUUAAGGCAUUUUGCUGGAAAAUGGAAACCAUAGGUUCAAACCUCCUCUGGAUGCAGGGUGGGGCCUACAACCUGGAUUUUCUGCUCCCUAGUAAAGUAGCAGAUCAAAUACCUUUAGUAUAACAGCCUUCUCCUGGAUCUUACUGCAGCAGAGAACAAGAAAGAAGAUAAUCUGCCCCUUCUUUGCCGGGGAUUAAAAUGGCUUCCAUUAAUGCUCAGGACUACAAAGGUUAUGGGUCUGCCAGUCAAGAAACUAAGAUUGAAAGCAUGUGAACAAUCACAACCAGCCCAACUCAGAAAACAUCUAACUUGGCUAUUUGCACUGUCAUCCUCAUGAGAGGAAAUGUGUAAGGUAAAACGUUGCCAAAACUCA